rnacentral:tRNA from 1 species
GUCCCUGUAGCUUAAUGGAUAGAGCAACUCCCUUCUAAGGAGUAGGUUAGAGGUUCGAAUCCUCUCAGGGACACAA